rnacentral:lncRNA from 1 species
ACCAAACAUCCUAGACUAUAAAAUUGUAAACUCUAAACUUGGCACAAAACCCAAAAUAACAAAUCCAAAGCCACAAGCUAAUAAUCAGAAAUUCUAAAUUAAAUGUAAACCCUAACCACUAAAAGUUAAACACACACUAAUCCUUAUACUAAACUAUAGAAUCGUAAGCCCUAAUCUCUAACACUAAACCCAAAGCCACAAGCCAAUGAAUCAAA